GCGAGAGUGGCGGAAUUGGCAGACGCGCUAGACUUAGGAUCUAGUACCUUUUCCGGUGUGGGGGUUCGAGUCCCCCCUCUCGCACGA
rnacentral:tRNA from 1 species